GGAGAGCUGGCUGAGUGGUCGAAAGCACCGCACUCGAAAUGCGGCAUACGGGCGACCGUAUCGAGGGUUCGAAUCCCUCGCUCUCCUCCA
rnacentral:tRNA from 1 species